rnacentral:rRNA from 1 species
CAGCACCUCAAGUGGUCAGGAUGAUUAUUGGGCCUAAAGCAUCCGUAGCCGGCUCUGUAAGUUUUCGGUUAAAUCUGUACGCUCAACGUACAGGCUGCCGGGAAUACUGCAGAGCUAGGGAGUGGGAGAGGUAGACGGUACUCGGUAGGAAGGGGUAAAAUCCUUUGAUCUAUUGAUGACCACCUGUGGCGAAGGCGGUCUACCAGAACACGUCCGACGGUGAGGGAUGAAAGCUGGGGGAGCAAACCGGAUUAGAUACCCCAGUAGUCC